rnacentral:rRNA from 1 species
GAUGAACGCUGGCGGCGUGCCUAACACAUGCAAGUCGAACGAACAGACGAUUUGCUCGCUUCUCUGAUGUUAGCCGCGUACGUGUCACUUACACGUGCAUCACCUACCUCUGAGACAGGCAUAACUUCCGGAAACCGGUGCUAGUACCGGAUAACCUAUUCAUCUUCAUGUUUGAAAAGUUCCAGCCGGUCUUGCUGUUACCUCUACAUAUAUCCUCGCUGCAUUAGCUAGUUGCUACGAUAACGGCUUACCAAGGCGGGCAUGCGUAGCCGACCUGGAAGGGGGAUCGGCCACACUGGAAGUGGAACACGGUCAAGACUCCUACGAGAGGCAGCAGUAGGGAAUCUUCGGCAGUAGGCGAGAGCCUGGCGGAACAGCGCCGCGUGAGUGAUGAAGGUCUUGGGAUCGUAAAGCUCUGUUAUGAGGGGAGAACAUAUGUGUGAGUAGCUGAACACAUCUUGACGGUACCUGAUCAGAAAGCCACGGCUAACUACGUG